UGAGGAGUGAAAUCUGUCUGUGCAGUGGAUCUGAAAGGAGGCCUGAGGCCUAGUCCAGCAACCACACAUCAACUGCAAGUUAACCCCAUUACUGAGGUAAAAGUCAAAGCCUUGCGAGAAUAGCGCUUUAUUGUCACAAGCUGAAGCAAAGUGGAAUGGAUUUUAUUGUACAAAUUGCUAAUGCUGUCAAAAAAGACACCAAGUGAGAACAAUAGGUCCAUUUUCAGAGAAGCUGAAAAACCUCUUAAGAUCAAGAGUACAAUUUAUUGAUAUAUUCCCAAUGCUCGUUGUCCCUAAGCAAGUGGGUGGAGCCUAAUGUCUACGAUGGUGAUGAUACAUUGCACAUGCAUAGAAGAGCGGAUUGAUCUUGCUCCUCUAUGUCUAAGCAGAAGCAACAUGAAGGGCAUUAUAGAGCAGCAGUGAACAGUCUAAGCUGUUAAUCAAGCCCUAUGAAGAAUUAUUCAUCCUGACAUUUUAGAAAAGUAAUCUUUUACCACAAAUGAGCUGCUUUAUUGUCAGCGCUAUCUGGAAAACAUUUCGGAAGACCCAGAAAAGAGAAAAUUAUUAUGAGCAAACAAAGAAAGAUAAUAGAAAUUUUAUGUACAUCAUCAAAAUCACUUUGGAAGUGCUAAUGGAAAAUACAUUUGUCACAGCGUAAAGCAGGAGGAUAUAACUGAAGUCUCUGCAGGCACAAGAAUACAUUUCCUUUACCUGACAACAUCCUGAAUCAAUAGAUUAAAAGAGAGAUGUGUAAUUCGGAGGUUCUCCCUGUUAAA